GAUGAACGCUGGCGGCGUGCCUAAUACAUGCAAGUCGAGCGAACGGACGAGAAGCUUGCUUCUCUGAUGUUAGCGGCGGACGGGUGAGUAACACGUGGAUAACCUACCUAUAAGACUGGGAUAACUUCGGGAAACCGGAGCUAAUACCGGAUAAUAUUUUGAACCGCAUGGUUCAAAAGUGAAAGACGGUCUUGCUGUCACUUAUAGAUUGAUCCGCGCUGCAUUAGCUAGUUGGUAAGGUAACGGCUUACCAAGGCAACGAUGCAUAGCCGACCUGAGAGGGUGAUCGGCCACACUGGAACUGAGACACGUUCCAGACUCCUACGGGAGGCAGCAGUAGGGAAUCUUCCGCAAUGGGCGAAAGCCUGACGGAGCAAAGCCGCGUGAGUGAUGAAGGUCUUCGGAUCGUAAAACUCUGUUAUUAGGGAAGAACAUAUGUGUAAGUAACUGUGCACAUCUUGACGGUACCUAAUCAGAAAGCCACGGCUAACUACGUG
rnacentral:rRNA from 1 species